GCCACCUCUGGGGCAGGGUGCUGGUCACACAGGGACCCCGUCCCGGCACCGAGAUGCGGCCAGCUCUGGGGCGGGGUGGCUGGUUAUACAGGGACCCCGUCCCGGCGCCGAGAUGCGGCCAGCUCUGGGGCGCGGAGGCUGGUUACACAGGGACCCCGUCCCGGCGCCGAGAUGCGGCCAGCUCUGGGGCGCGGAGGCUGGUUACACAGGGACCCCGUCCCGGCGCCAAGAUGCGGCCAGCUCUGGGGAGGGGCACGGGGCUGGUUACACAGGGACCCCGUCCCGGCCCCGAGAUGCGGCCAGCUCUGGGGCGGGGCGGCUGGUUACA